AUGAUGCUCCUCAGGGCAUGCAGUCACUUGGCUCUGCCACAGCUGGAGGAGGAACUUUGCACACAGCAUCCUGGCCUGCGAGUGGGGUGGGCAGCAGCUGACCUGGAAUCCGAGGCCAGAGUACAGCAGCUGUUGUGCACAGUUUGCAAGCUCCCCAGACCCAAGGGUCAGCAGAGCCUGCUGCUCAUCAACAAUGCAGGUACUCUUGGGGACAUUUCCAAAGGCUUCCUGAACGUGCGUGACCCAGCAGAGGUGAACAACUACGGGGCUCUAAACAUGACUUCAUGCUCUGCUCAGCUCCGGCACCCUGAAAGCCUUCCCAGACAGCCCUGGCUUCAACAAGACUGUGGUUAACAUCUCUUCUCUGUGUGCCUUGGAACCCUACAAGGUUUAGGGGCUGUACUGUGCUGGGAAGGCUGCCUGAGACAGGUUGUACAAGGUCCAAGUUCCUGAGGAACCCAGUGUGAGCUAUGCUCCAGGUAAGUGGGUGAUACUUCCAUUGCUGACCCAACAUGGCUGGAACCUUUCUGGGGCUGGAAAUGUGGGGAACUCAUCAAUAUUCUCAGAAAAGAAUCUAAAGAAUAUGUUCCAUCUUGCCUCAUGACUCCUCAUCUUGCAAGGAAAAUAUAGACUUAAGAAUUUAGAGCAGGAGGGGCAGAGGUACUCAGCUUAGGAGUUGAAUUACAGAGGAUGUGGUCUUCUGAUGCCUUGCCUUGUCUGAUCAGCCU
rnacentral:lncRNA from 1 species